UCUGUGUGUGUGGAGUAAAGGUGGUCUAGAUUUUGGUUGCACAUGUGACAUGCUGGUAGAAAUGAGGUCAAACGGAUUAAAGUUUGCCUGCAUUAAAAUCCGCGGCCACUAGGAGCGCCACUUCAGGAUGAGCAUUUUAUUGUUUGCUAAUGACCUUAUAUAGUUGGUUGUGUGCGGUCUUAGUGCCAGCAUCGGUUUGUGGUGGUAAAUAGACGGCUAUGAAUAAUAUAGAUGAGAACUCUCUUGGUAGAUAUUGUGGUCUACAGUUACCUCAGGUGAGCAAUAGUUCACACCAGCUGUUAUUGAGAAAUAGACAUCUUACCAGAUGUAGCUUCUCUGUUCUGCCGGUGCAUGGAAAAUCCCGCCAGCUCUAUAUUAUCUGUGUCGUCGUUCAGCCACUACUCGGUGAAACAUAAGAUAGUAAUGCACCAUAACGUUGGAUUCCAACCGCCAAUAAACCCCACCGAAGAAGAAGAUGACAGAUGAUGAUUUCCUGUACAUGGUGGCAGGUAGUCUAAUGGUUAAGAGCGUUGGGCAAGUAACUGAAAGUUUCCUGGUUUGAACCCCAGAGCCAACUAGAGUGAAAAUGUAUGAUGUGUCCUUGAGCAAGGCACUUAACCCUGAUUAAGAGUGUCAGCUAAAUGGAUAAGAUAUACAGAUAAAAUGAUCAAAAGCAGCAACAAACAGUUGAGAUCAGUACUAUGCUGGUUCCAAACAUAAGUGGUCAAGGCUAGGGUCCCCUUACCCCAAAAAAUAAAUAAAAAUAUCAAUAUAUAUCCAAAAUUCAUUUUGGAUUUUAGAAAGACUUCAAAUAAGUGCUGUGUUCGUGUAGGGUUACCCUGGUGUAACAUUUUGUUAACUGUAUGAAUCUCUCUCUCAGAAAAGGUAACUUUAAUCAAUACAUUUGCCUGUAUUUACCCACCUCCCCCCAAAAUUAAAUGCAAAUUAGCUGCUACUGUGGCUAUCAUACAGAACUACAAAUGCCUGUAGCGAGCGCCACGUCCCUCACCAGGGACAUGAUGAUCUGGAUGAGACUUCCGAAUCGAGACAAAGAUGCCAUGGCUGUGCCUGCUAAGAAGGGGAGCAGCAGCGAACCACAAGACUGCAGCCAAGGCAGCACUGGUCCACACCUGACCUGAGUGUUGGAGCCACAGUCUAUUUGAGGGAUGGAAAUCGUGGCUGAUCUCCAAACCAAAACAAGGAGCUACACCUCAACCUCCCUAUUUUGCAAGCCACUACCCUAGAGCAUAUAAGAGUCCUCUGCCCAUCAAAAAAAACAAGUACCAAGAUGAUGAUGACCAUGCUCAACUACAUGCCAGCUACUGCACGCUCUUUUAUAAAUCACUGCAGAGUGAAUAAUUUGUUGUUAAACCAAGCUACAUAAUUAACAGUUUUUUCUGUGAGUUUCUGAUCCCCUGAACCUGUAUAGUGUGUUGAAUCUGAAUACAUUUCAGAAGACAGGUCACCCAUAUUGUAGGAAAUUAAAUGUAUAGUAGGUGUUUUCUAUGUGAAUCAAUUUGUGUAUGAUUUGAACCAGCACAAUAUAUUGAAUUAAUUUAAUUUUAAGAUGUUGUUCCUAGUGUAUAAAAUGUUAUGUACAAUGUGUUCUGUUGAGAAUGAUUUUGUGUGUGAUCAUUUGAACCUUUUUUAAUCUGAAUGAAUUAAAAACAAAUAAGUCAUCACA